rnacentral:rRNA from 2 species
ACCGGGACGGACGAACCUCUGGUGUGCCAGUUGUUCCACCAGGAGCACCGCUGGUUAGCUACGUUCGGAAGGGAUAACCGCUGAAAGCAUCUAAGCGGGAAGCCUGUUCCAAGAUGAGGUUUCUCACCCCCUCGAGGGGGUAAGGCCCCCGGCAGACCACCGGGUUGAUAGGCCAGAACUGGAAGCCCAGCAAUGGGUGCAGGUGACUGGUACUAAUAGGCCGAGGACUUACCACAA